UCUGCCCCUAGAGGCCUUGCAGGUGAGGCUGCUGUGUCACAUGUGUGUUAGCAAGUGGCAGAGAAGAGAGAGGCCAUGUCUUCACUCAGAUUUCUGGCCUAUGAACAUCUGAAUGAUUAAUUAGUAGCCUAACAUU
ensembl:snoRNA